UACGGGGGGGGCAAGCGUUGUUCGGAAUUACUGGGCGUAAAGGGCGCGUAGGCGGUCAGGUCAGUCCCGUGUGAAAUCCCUCGGCUCAACUGAGGAACUGCACGGGAAACUACCUGGCUUGAGUUCGGGAGAGGGAAGCGGAAUUCCGGGUGUAGCGGUGAAAUGCGUAGAUAUCUGGAGGAACACCGGUGGCGAAGGCGGCAUCCUGGACCAACACUAACGCUGAGUGAGCGAAAGCCAGGGGAGCAAACGGG
rnacentral:rRNA from 1 species